GGGGAUGUAGCUCAAUGGUAGAGUGCAUGCUUUGCAUGCACGAGGUUCUGGGUUCAAUCCCUGGCAUCUCCA
rnacentral:tRNA from 1 species